rnacentral:lncRNA from 1 species
GUUUUUUCAGCAAAUGCUAUGGAUUGUAUUAUCUGUACUAUUUGGUAGCGUUUAUACUUUUUAAACGCUGUUAAAUUAAAACCGUACAUUGAAAAUUGGUUUCUGAUAGGGGAUACAAGUUAGGUUGAAUGGCUUCCUGUAAAUACAAUUUCAAAAGAGAGAAAGAUAUUGAGGUUGAGGUUACUGACCAUACUAUGCCUGAGUCAUUCAUACUUGAUGAGGUAAGGUAUUAGUUUGUCUAGUUCAUAGCUAGUAUCUGCUAUUUGUUUUCUUGUUUUUUUUCUUUUUCUCUUUCUUUAUCUUUAUCUAUAUCUUUGUCUGGUCAUGCAACUGUUUUGAUUUCUCUCGCUUUAGGAACAGGGAAGGUAAAUUUAACAAGGUUCUCACAACCUCUGCAAUCCACAGUUCCUAAUUGCAGGAGAGGAUUAUUUAUGUUGAUCUAAGUGUGUAUCUGAUGCCAACUUCUAUGAUUGUGCUCAUGAAAAAGUUAACACUAUACUUGUAGUUUAGAGACACGUAAGUUUUGGAUGCUGCUAUGGAGGAGAAGUUAUAGAUCAGUUUUGUUCUGUUGAGGACUUUUUUCAUUUAUAAAGGAAAAGAAUGAGAAAAUGUAAUGCUUGUGUAUUUCAAUGAAUGUUACAUUAUGUUUUGAUCACUUCUGAGAUUGUUUAAUAAAAAUAUGCAUACUUUUAUGGUGUAGUGAUUGAUUAGGCAGUCAACACAAUUGAGAAAGCAAUAUCUUUUUCCCU